UACGUAGGGGGCAAGCGUUGUCCGGAAUCAUUGGGCGUAAAGAGCGUGUAGGCGGUCCGGUCAGUCGGUUGUGAAAGUCAAGGGCUCAACCCUUGAAUGCCGGCCGAUACUGCCGUUCUUGAGGGAUGCAGAGGAGACUGGAAUUCCCGGUGUAGCGGUGAAAUGUGUAGAGAUCGGGAGGAACACCGGUGGCGAAGGCGGGUCUCUGGGCAUUUCCUGACGCUGAGGCGCGAAAGCGUGGGGAGCAAACGGG
rnacentral:rRNA from 1 species